rnacentral:rRNA from 1 species
GUGAACGCUGGCGGUGUGCCUAAGACAUGCAAGUCGAACGGGAGCGCAAGCUCUAGUGGCGAACGGGUGAGUAAUAGAUAGGAACGUACUCUGAAGAAGGGGAUAGCCCACCGAAAGGUGGAGUAAUACCCUAUAAUAUCGCAAGAUUAAAGACGCAAGUCACUUCAGAAGCGGCCUAUCUGCUACCAGCUAGUUGGUGGGGUAACGGCCUACCAAGGCGAUGACAGCUAACGGCUCUUAGCGGAGAGUCCGUCACAAUGGGACUGAGACACGGCCCAUACACCUACGGGUGGCAGCAGUUAGGAAUUUUGCGCAAUGGACGAAAGUCUGACGCAGCGACACCGCGUGGAGGAUGACGGCCUUCGGGUUGUAAACUCCUUUUUUCCGGCCAUGAAGGUCGGAGGAAUCAGGAACUACUAACUACGU